UACCAGCACCCCGAGUGGUCGGGACGAUUAUUGGGCCUAAGCAUCCGUAGCCGGUUCUACAAGUCUUCCGUUAAAUCCACCUGCUUAACAGUUGGGCUGCAGAGGAUACUAUAGAGCUAGGAGGCGGGAGAGGCAAGCGGUACUUAGUGGGUAGGGGUAAAAUCCGUUGAUCCACUGAAGACCACCAGUGGCGAAGGCGGCUUGCCAGAACGCGCUCGACGGUGAGGGAUGAAAGCUGGGGGAGCAAACCGG
rnacentral:rRNA from 1 species